rnacentral:rRNA from 1 species
AAACCAACAGGGAUUGCCUCAGUAACGGCGAGUGAAGCGGCAAAAGCUCAAAUUUGAAAUCUAACACUUUCAGUGUUCGAGUUGUAAUUUGAAGAAAGUUUCUCUGAGUAGUCCUUUAUCUAUGUUCCUUGGAACAGGACGUCAUAGAGGGUGAGAAUCCCGUAUGAUUUUGGAUACUAUUCUUUGUGAGAUUCUUUCGAAGAGUCGAGUUGUUUGGGAAUGCAGCUCUAAGUGGGUGGUAAAUUCCAUCUAAAGCUAAAUAUUGGCGAGAGACCGAUAGCGAACAAGUACAGUGAUGGAAAGAUGAAAAGAACUCUGAAGAGAGAGUGAAAAAGUACGUGAAAUUGCUGAAAGGGAAGGGCUUUAGGUCAGACUUGGUGUUUAAUGAUUAUCUUCUCUUUUUGAGUUGUGCACUCGUUUUUCACUGGGCCAAUAUCAGUUUUUGUGGUAGAGCACCUAUUGGAAUGUAGCUUUUCUUCGGAUGAGUGUUAUAGCCUUUAGACGAUCUAUUUACGGAGACUGAGGACUGCGCG